rnacentral:rRNA from 1 species
GUACGAAGGGGGAGCUAGCGUUGCUCGGAAUCACUGGGCGUAAAGCGCACGUAGGCGGACUCUUAAGUCGGUGGUGAAAUCCUGGAGCUCAACUCCAGAACUGCCUUCGAUACUGAGAGUCUCGAGUCCGGGAGAGGUGAGUGGAACUGCGAGUGUAGAGGUGAAAUUCGUAGAUAUUCGCAAGAACACCAGUGGCGAAGGCGGCUCACUGGCCCGGUACUGACGCUGAGGUGCGAAAGCGUGGGGAGCAAACAGG